UGCCCAGCUCCACUCCCACUCCCGCUUCCACAGGUCUACACAUUCUGGGACUCUGGCUGAGGGAUUUCUCUGUCUGCGGAAACUUGCUGGCCUACAGGCUGGGCAGACUUGCCGGAGCCAUUUAAAUCCACGGUGGGUAGGAAGUGUUAGAAAGAGGGAACGUCAGAGAAAAAGUACCUCCUUUAGGACCUCAUCGAGCCCAAAUCCAAGAGAAGAGCAGACCUUGGUAUUAGAUCGUUGGUCUUCAGGGACUCCCAGUUACUGCCUUAAGAUGUCAGUGUCUGUAUACGUUGCCUGGUUAGUAAACUUUGGAGGAAUUGAUGAACCACUGUGUCUGGGUUUUUCACUUCUUUGGCCUGAGUCCUGCCAGGUAAGCUCACUUAACCUUCCCGAGAAAUGUGGAGGGCAUGCAGGCCUGGGCGUGCCAUUGCUGGGACCCAGCCAGCCCCCAGAUUCUCUGGUUGCAGAGUGGCCUGGCCAGCUCACACAGGUAGUGUGCCCUUGUAUUCUUGGAAGAAGAAACAUCAGAGUAAAAGGGGAGGGGGAGGGAAGGCUAGACAGGAAUUUUUCCAGGCCCUUCUGCUUAGGAAUUAAAAGUUUGCUGGGAAACGGUUCUGAUGGCUUUAAAUGUUACAGAUGAUAUACUCCAGGGGGAACACAGUCCCCACGGGUGGCCCCUGGGAAGUAUUUAAUAUCACUGGCUAUUGUGUUUUUCUACAACAAAACUCUACAUCCCUUGAGAACAGAGGCUAAUUUUCACAGGUCUUUGUUAUCUCCCACAGGGCCUUUCAUACAUGUGCCCAAGAAUGUGUUGAUCUACUUUGAUCUCCUAUUGUGUAAGAAGAUUUCCUCCGGGAAAGAAGAAGCAGUGAAUUCAUGAAACUUGGCAAAGAUUUUGAUCUCAAUUUAUAGAUGGGAACACCUAUAAAAUGAAGAGCGUUGGGCCAGUCUGUGAGGCCAGUUCUAGCUCAAAAUCCUGGCAUCCUCUAAGAUGUGGAAGAGUGAGGUCAGAGGGAGGCGGCCGGCUGCUGGCAGCGCUGGGCAGCUGGGUGCUAGGGCCCAGGGCUCUUCAGAGACCAUGUCAGAAUUCCCGUUUUGCCAUCACCAGGAUGUACACCCAAAGGCACAUU